GCCAUUAUUGUCAGUGGUUGUACACGGAAAAGAUCCAAGAUCCUCCGAGUGACUCGUGGCUGCUCCAAAUGCGAAGAGGGAGAGAGUCCCAGUCGGGACAGAUAGAUGGAGCAGGGGUGGGAGCACCGGGCAGAUGCAAGAGCUCGCUCCAUCCUUGGGCUCUGGCUCUUGCUCUAUAACUCCUUUCACGAGCACCAGCCUCUGACCAUCUCCACUCACAGCCAGGAGUCCAGCAAAGGAGCACGAGACAGGAAGUGGGACCCGCCAUCAACAGCUUCGGGAGAAGGGAGCGUGAGCCGUGUCCGCCACUGCGCUGAUGCCUGGGCUCAGAGGAGCGGGCGGGGCCGGAAGGCGAGAACUCUGGCGCUGGCACAGCUCUGCGGCUCAUCGAACGUCUCCCAGGCUUCCUGCGUUCUUGGUGAAGCCGGACUGAUAUCAACAGGCAGUGUUUUAGAGCUGCACCAUUCCCAGCCCAGCUUCUGCUCCAAAGAGGCUCAGAAAACAGCCUGGGAAAAAAAAAAGAUUCCUCCGUAAUGAGGGGGAACACGGGUUCGAGCCCAGGUCCGGGAAGCCCAGGUCCGGGAAGAUCCCACGUGCCACGGAGCAACUAAGCCCAUGCACCACAACUACUGAACCUGCACUCUAGAGCCUGCGAGCCACAACCACUGAAGCCCGCGUGCCUAGAGCCCGUGCUCCGCAACAAGAGAAACCACCGCAGUGAGAAGCCCGCGCACCGCAGUGAAGAGUGGCCCCCGCUCGCCACAACUAGAGAAAGCCCACGCAGCAAUGAAGAUCCAACACAGCCAAAAAUAAAUAUAUUUAAAAAAACAAACAAACCUGGAUUCA